rnacentral:rRNA from 1 species
CGGCAGCGACCCCAGGUCAGGCGGGAUUACCCGCUGAGUUUAA